GACGAACGCUGGCGGCGUGCUUAACACAUGCAAGUCGAACGGAAAGGCCCUGCUUUUGUGGGGUGCUCGAGUGGCGAACGGGUGAGUAACACGUGAGUAACCUGCCCUUGACUUUGGGAUAACUUCAGGAAACUGGGGCUAAUACCGGAUAGGAGCUCCUGCUGCAUGGUGGGGGUUGGAAAGUUUCGGCGGUUGGGGAUGGACUCGCGGCUUAUCAGCUUGUUGGUGGGGUAGUGGCUUACCAAGGCUUUGACGGGUAGCCGGCCUGAGAGGGUGACCGGCCACAUUGGGACUGAGAUACGGCCCAGACCCCUACGGGAGGCAGCAGUGGGGAAUAUUGCACAAUGGGCGGAAGCCUGAUGCAGCAACGCCGCGUGCGGGAUGACGGCCUUCGGGUUGUAAACCGCUUUCGCCUGUGGCGAAGCGUGAGUGACGGUAAUGGGUAAAGAAGCACCGGCUAACUACGUG
rnacentral:rRNA from 1 species